rnacentral:rRNA from 1 species
UACGUAGGGAGCAAGCGUUAUCCGGAUUUAUUGGGUGUAAAGGGUGCGUAGACGGGAUAACGAGUUAGUUGUGAAAACCCUCGGCUCAACUGAGGAACUGCAACUAAAACUAUUAUUCUUGAGUGCAGGAGGGGAAAGUGGAAUUCCUAGUGUAGCGGUGAAAUGCGUAGAUAUUAGGAAGAACACCAGUGGCGAAGGCGACUUCUGAACUGUAACUGACGUUGAGGCACGAAAGUGUGGGGAGCAAACAGG